CAGCAGCCGCGGUAAUACGAAGGGGGCUAGCGUUAUUCGGAAUCACUGGGCGUAAAGGGUGCGUAGGCGGAUUCUUAAGUCAGGGGUGAAAUCCCGAGGCUCAACCUCGGAACUGCCUUUGAUACUGGGGAUCUUGAGUCCGGAAGAGGUGAGUGGAACUGCGAGCGUAGGGGUGAAAUUCGUAGAUAUUCGCAAGAACACCGGUGGCGAAGGCGGCUCACUGGUCCGGAACUGACGCUGAGGCACGACAGCGUGGGGAGCAAACAGGAUUAGAUACCCCUGUAGUCCCUGUCUCUUAUAC
rnacentral:rRNA from 1 species